AGCGAACGCUGGCGGCAGGCUUAACACAUGCCAGUCGAGCGGGCAUCCUUGUGGUGUCAGCGGCAGACGGGUGAGUAACGCGUGGGAACGUGCCCUUCGGUUCGUAAUAACUCAGGGAAACUUGAGCUAAUACCGGAUACGUGCGAUAGCAGAAAGGUUUAUCUGCCGAAGGAUCGGCCCGCGUCUGAUUAGCUAGUUGGUUUGGUUACGGCUCACCAAGGCGACGAUCAGUAGCUGGUCUGAGAGGAUGAUCAGCCACACUGGGACUGAGACACGGCCCAGAAUACUACGGGAGGCAGCAGUGGGGAAUAUUGGAAAAUGGGGGCAAACCUGAUCCAGCCAUGCCGCGUGAGUGAUGACGGCCUUAGGGUUGUAAAGCUCUUUUCUCCGGGACGAUAAUGACGGUACCGGAGGAAUAAGCCCCGGCUAACUUCGUG
rnacentral:rRNA from 1 species